rnacentral:rRNA from 1 species
CACGUAGGGUGCGAGCGUUUGUCCGGAAUUAUUGGGCGUAAAGAGCUCGUAGGCGGUUUGUCGCGUCUGCUGUGAAAACCUAAGGCUCAACCUUGGGCUUGCAGUGGGUACGGGCAGACUAGAGUGCGGUAGGGGGUGACUGGAAUUCCAGGUGUAGCGGUGAAAUGCGUAGAUAUCUGGAGGAACACCGGUGGCGAAGGCGGCAUCCUGGACCGGCAUUGACGCUGAGGCGCGAAAGCCAGGGGGAGCAAACGGG